rnacentral:rRNA from 1 species
UGGUGGAGUGAUUUGUCUGCUUAAUUGCGAUAACGAACGAGACCUUAACCUGCUAAAUAGCCCGGCUGGCGUCUGCCGGCCGCUGGCUUCUUAGAGGGACUAUCGGCUCAAGCCGAUGGAAGUUUGAGGCAAUAACA